UUAUAUAUUAAGUAAUCUCGAUAGACGUGUUAUCAACUAUUCACCUUCUUCUUCAUUCAAAGAACCCUACCCGUCGCCGCCCUAGUUGUUCCGUCUUUGUUCGUCGUUCGUUGACCACCGUCGACGACUCACCGUUCGCCUCACCCAAGCCCAAGUGUCGUCCUUUGGAGCUAAGCGUCACCCCUUCCAGCAUUUCACCAGCCAUCCAUCCAUCUUGUCUCCUCCUCGUCUGUGGCCACCAUCUCGUCGUCAUCGUUUCGUCAACCAUUUACCUCUGUCUCAGUCUAAGCCGCAACCUCUCCACUUCGCAAGUCGAUUAGUUCGUGAGUCGUUCGCGAGCCGUCCUCCUUUACAUCCGAGCCUAUCUCCUCUAUAAAGGGAGUCGAGGCUUUCUUGUCCAAGCCAAUUUAGCAAGCGAAACCUCAUAUUCCUUCAGCAAUUGGAGUCGGUAAGUUUUGUUAGAUUGGGUACAUGCGAACAUUUAUCCCUUGGAUUUUAAAUAAGUUUAUAAUUAGAACAAUUGGAAUGAGUUGGAUUAUUUUUACUUAGAGAUUUGGCUAAAUUUAAAUGAAAGAUUUGAUAUGUGGAUUUUUACCAUUUAAGGUUGUUUUGGUUUCAACUUAGCCUUGGGAUAAGUUUGAAUGCUUAAGUAGAUAUUUGGAUGAUUGGUUGACAAAAUUAUUAAUUUUAAUUUUGUCUAUGUUUAGAACUGAGUUAAUUGGAAAUUGACUGUCACGAAAGGAGAAUGAGAUUCUACUAUUAGACCAUCAAUAUUAGAUUAAAGAGUUUGCUUGUAUGUUUUUCCUUAUUAUGCAUUAACAUAACCAUAAUGCAUGAUGUGACUGUUAGAGAUGACUGAUACGACUACAUAAUGGCUACAUAGACAACUCUUAUGUAUGACUGAGAUAUAUAUAUAUGUAAUGAGUUAUGUGAUGGUGAUAUGUUAUGAAUGAGAUAACUAUGAGAUUGUGAUACGUUUUGAUUGAGCAAGUAUGGCUUCUAGUUUCUCAUAUCAGUAUAUAGGACGACAACUGCUCUUAAAAUGUAUGGCUUCUAUCAAUCAACGAGUGCUCCGGAGUCUAUCCACUCAACAAUGUCUACCACUAGUACAAAAGUGGUCUAGAACGACAGUUAUUUAUUGUCGUAAACGAAUUUCGCGACAAUUAUUUUCAGUCAUAGAAGCGGGAGUCAUGGAAAGUCCUUCGACGACAGUUUUCGAAAACUGUCGCAAUAAGUUAUUUUAUGACAUAAAAUAAAUGUCGUUAAUCAACAUUCAACGACUUCAAAUAACUGUCAUAAUUAUUUUAUGACAUUCGAUAACUAUCAUCAUUUCUUUAUUAA
rnacentral:lncRNA from 1 species